rnacentral:lncRNA from 1 species
CCCAUUCAUUUAAACUUUAUUUAUAUGAAUAAAAGAACUUGAGACAAUUUAGCUCAAUUUUAAUGUUUCCCAAGCAUUAUUUUGACCAGGUACCCAGGUUUAAGUUAUGAACAUUGACAGUGUCCAUUAUAUAACCACACUUGAAGUUAUUAAGGACUUAACCAUUUUCUAAUAUUAGCCUAUUUUCUACACUGCUUUUCACAUAUAUGCCCAUUAAAAAUGGAAUGUCUGUUACAUUUAUUGGCUUGUGAGUGUUUCUGGAAAACUGCAGUAAGUGUGAAGGCCAAUUUCCAUGCUGGCAUUGCAUGCAUCCAAAUAUUAAUGCACGGAGGCACAGAAUUAGAGCAACAAGAGAGCAUAUUCAAACACUAGCAUGCGCCAUUCCCCUUUUUAUUGCUUGUUUGCUUAGUACUUCUUAAAACAGAAGGAAAGACUUGAAUUCAACGUUCAACUACCAAAGAAGGAGUAACAGCAGGACACAUACUCAGGACUUGAAUGAAAUUGUAAGCACUAGCUGAAGCAAAACAGUAGACAUGGGUAUAUAUCCAUAUAUAUAUAUAUAUAUAUCCUUAUUAUCUAAAACUCUUCUCAACCAGGGCCUUCCCAACAAAUUGGUAACAACAUGAUUUAUGUUGAAAUAUACACAAGAAAUAAGAGUGUGUUCUUUGUCUUUGGGAAUUUAAUAACUCAGACUAUCCAAAUUUGAAUUCAGGUCUGUAGGAAGUGAGAAGCCUGUACUAAGCAACUGUCCUACAUUUCUGCUGCAGUUAGGUUAUUUUGGACAAUUAUACCUAAACUAUCCUUGGUUUCAUCCAGCAAAAUGUAUACAGUACAAACAGGAAAGCAUGCCAGCCAGCUAGGGGUUUAAUAACGCAUGAUUUUUAUUCUCUUGGUCUGAAAAGUUGUAUCAAAAAAUGUAAACUAAUGCAAAUAACUCAAGAUUUAUGGGCCUCUUGUGCUUUAAAAAAGGAAAAAAGGUACCCACUAAUUUGCUCAGAUAUAGCAGGCUUAAUGGUUCUAUAUUUUGAAAAGUUUUUAAGAAUGGUUUCUAAUGUAGGAGAGGGAAAACAUCCACUAUACCUUUUCAGAAUUUAAAUGGAGGGCAGUAAACAUUCUUUACACCCAAAACCUAUGGCAGCAGUUCAAAUUUGACCAAGGUAAAUGUAGAAUGGAGAUGUUCUAAACACAGCUAGGACUCAGCAAGUCUAACACACUAAAAUCAUGUGAUUACAUUUUAAAAGAAAGUGCACAAAAACCAAAAAGAAAUUUUGAGACUUUUUUAUUUGAAGGUAAUCUUAAUGCUAUUAAAUUCACAAAUGCUAAUUUAAAUACCCAAUCCUAUUUACCUAAAACACACAUUGCAAACACACAAAUUAUCUGUUCUCUCCACAUGUCGGCGUCCAUUCAUAUCAUGGUUUGGAAAUGGGGAGAAUAGAUUCCCCUUAAACUGCAAGUCAGCAGGUGUUUCUUUACAGUUAACUUUAGCAAAAUUUAUACAAAAUAGUAAUUAACAAUUGAUCUUCUUUACUUGUUAACUCACAAGGAAACACCUUCAAAACUGCAUUUUGUUAAAGUUUCUGUACUAAAAUGUAGAAAAACUGAACUACACAGAUAUUGAAAAGUUAAAAAUUCCUUAAUUUUUUAUUCCUGGUACCACUACCACAAUUUACAGGGCAAUAUACCUGAUGUAAUGAAAAGAAAAAGAAUAAGACAAAGCUACAACAGAUAAAAGACCUGAGGAAUGUACAUCUAAUUGACGCUACAUUGCAUUAAUCGAUAGCUGCACUUCCUGCAAACUGUGGCUAUGACAGUCCUGAACAAGAAGGGUUUCCUGUUUAAGCUGCAGUAACUUUUCUGAUUAUGGAUCAUCGUUCCUUCUGUGACAGAUUUUUACAGUUCCUCUAAUGCACUUGGGACGACUGUCUCAAAGUAACCUGUAGCUUUCCUGACAACUCCUCACUCUCUCUCCUGCUAAGAACUGUAGCCCUUUCCUGCUGUUUUUAGAACCUUCUGCUACCAUAUCCACCACUUCCACCACCAGAUCCAUAACCACCAC